UUGGAGGGCAAGUCUGGUGCCAGCAGCCGCGGUAAUUCCAGCUCCAAUAGCGUAUAUUAAAGUUGUUGCAGUUAAAAAGCUCGUAGUUGAAUUUCGGGGUUAGCAAGUUGGUCGUGCCACUGGUAUGUACUGGCUUUGCUGAUUCCUCCUUCUUGUAGAACCGUAAUGCCAUUUAUUUGGUGUUGCGGGGAAACAGGACUGUUACUUUGAAAAAAUUAGAGUG
rnacentral:rRNA from 1 species